AACUUUCAGCAACGGAUCACUUGGCUCUCCCAUCGAUGAAGAACGCAGCGAAAUGCGAUAAGUAAUGUGAAUUGCAGAAUCCAGUGAAUCAUCGAAUCUUUGAACGCACCUUGCGCCCUUUGGUAUUCCGAAGGGCAUGCCUGUUUGAGUGUUAUUAAAUUCUCAACCUUUUGAACGCUUGCGCUCACUAGGCUUGGAUGUGAGGGUUUUGCUGGCUUCCUUCAGUGGCGGUCUGCUCCCUUUAAAUGCAUUAGUGGGAUCCUUUGUGGAUCGGUCACUUGGUGUGAUAAUAUAUCUACGCCGCUUGUACCGCGAAGCAAAACUUAUGGGAACCUGCUUAUAACCGUCUAGCAAUAGACAACUUUUGAACCUUUAACCUCAAAUCAGGUAGGACUACCCGCUGAACUUAAGCAUAUCAAUAAGCGGAGGCU
rnacentral:misc_RNA from 1 species